rnacentral:lncRNA from 1 species
CCCCAAGCCCCCCUCCUUCCGCGGCCCUUGAAUUGAAGCCCUUCCUUCGGCCCUUCUUUUCUUCGCUUCCGUUCAGUCUUUCUUCCCCUCUCUCCCCAUUCAUGAUUCACGAACGGUGAAGUAGCAAAACCUCCAUUGACUAUUCACUCUCUCUUCUUUCCCGACGACCGUCUUUUUCUGAUCUACUGAGAGUGUGGCCGCCGUUCAGCAAGUUGCGGGUGUGUGGCUGCCGAAAGAACCGUUCCCUAUCGAUCUCUUUCCCCCCUCCCUGUCAAUCUGUUUUGCCUGUGUUGAGUGUGGCUGCCAAACCGCCGUUCAUCUUCUGUCCGAAUGACGAACGCCAAGCGGUGAGUUUCUGUUUCUUUUAAUAAUACCUUUUAUUAGUAGAUUGCCUUUUCCAAUCCACUAAGAUUUAGAAAGCCUAACAACACACACAUCUCUGUUCACUGAAUUUAGAAAUAAUCGGCAUUUGGGUUCAGGUUAACGAUGUUGCUGCCAUUUGGGUUCUAUGAAGGAAAGGAUGCUUAAGCUAAAAUUCAAUUAUGGAGAAAGUUGGUUAAAGAAUCAGCUGGUGCAAAUUAUGUCAAGAAAUUUGCAAAUUCUUCACUUUGAUGAUUUGUGAAGGAAAGGAUGCUUAAGCUGAAUGAAUUUGACUGUUGUUAGAAACUGCUAGUCUUUUAACCAUAAUAAAAUUAUGGCAUGAAUUUUAGAAACUCCUAGUCUUCUAACUAUAAAGGAUGCUAGUCUUCUUACCAUAAUAAAAUUAUGCAAAUUAUGUCAAUAAUAAAAUAUUUA